UACGUAGGGGUCGAGCGUUGUCCGGAUUUAUUGGGUUUAAAGGGUGCGUAGGCGGCUUUUUAAGUCCGGGGUGAAAGCCCGUUGCUCAACAACGGAACUGCCCCGGAAACUGGAGAGCUUGAGUACAGACGAGGGCGGCGGAAUGGAGGGUGUAGCGGUGAAAUGCAUAGAUACCCUCCAGAACACCGAUUGCGAAGGCAGCUGCCUAGACUGUAACUGACGCUGAGGCACGAAAGCGUGGGGAGCGAACAGG
rnacentral:rRNA from 1 species